GGCUUCAUAGAAAGAGGAGGCAAAGGAAACCUAACCCCAAGUACACCCCAGCCUGAGCCACUGUGCCUGGUCUGUAUUGUGAAUGGGGAGACAUGG
rnacentral:snoRNA from 1 species